rnacentral:rRNA from 1 species
CAGUUCGGAUUGUAGUCUGCAACUCGACUACAUGAAGCUGGAAUCGCUAGUAAUCGCGAAUCAGAAUGUCGCGGUGAAUACGUUCCCGGGUCUUGUACACACCGCCCGUCACACCAUGGGAGUCAGUAACGCCCGAAGCCGGUGACCUAACCGAAAGGGAGGAGCCGUCGAAGGUGGGACCGAUAACUGGGGUGAAGUCGUAACAAGGUACC